ensembl:misc_RNA Metazoa_SRP Metazoan signal recognition particle RNA
GCCAGGCACAGCAGCACAUGCCUGUAGUCCCAGCUACUCGGGAGGCUGAGCAGGAGGAUCGUUUGAGGCCAGGAGCUCUGGACUGCAGUGUCCUAUGCCAGUUGGGUGCUGGCACUAAGCUCUGCAUCAAUAUGGUGACCCAAAGAGGGGUGAACCGGCCCAGGUUGGAAACAGAGCAGGUAAAAACUCCUGUGCUAAUCAGUAUUGGGGUCAUGCCUAUGAGUAGCCAUUGCACUCCCGCCUGGGCAACAUAGCAAGACCCUGUUUCA